rnacentral:lncRNA from 1 species
UCGACAACAAUCUGGCAACUGUUCUCAUAUGUCAAAAUGGUAUAAACAGACGCGUGUUUUUACAUGUUAGCUGGACACCUUUAGAAUUCAAGCAAUACAUGUUAGCUGGACACCUUUAGAAUUCAAGCAAUCUCUGAACAAUUAGCUCAGCAAGUCACAAUCACAUCAAAAUCUGAGCAAUUAGAAGGGUGCCAUCACGCCCUUUGCACUGAAAAUCGAUUUCCACCCACCAUGUCCUCAUCCUGCGCUCAGCUGGAACCUCAUAAUGCAGCUCAGAACACACAAUGAUCCAUGAAGGCAACAGAGCGACAGUAGCUUCGAUGGAUUGUGGGUCCUGUCACAAGAGCAACAUACCCCUGGAUGCAGAUAUACUUGGACUGGAGCUUGUCAGCAAACAGCCUGCUGCGCUGGUGGAAAGAGAUGCUGGUGGCGAUCGGCACCCACAAGAGGCAUUGUCGUUACCGGCAUGUGGCAGCGGCCAUGAGCGAGAUGAGGAAUCGAUGGGGUACUCUCGAUCAUAUAGGAAUAGAGAAGCCAACAGAUAAGGCCAGGACCAAAGGGUACAAUGGUCCUUUCAACUGCCAGAAAUGUGGAAGGAAGAUAAAUGAUUAAGGCUAAAUGUGGAAGGAAGAUAAAUGAUUAAGGCCUUUUUGGAUGCAUCCGUAUCCAACUCAAUCCAUGUGGGUUGGAGUGGAUUGAGGUGGAAAAUAGUUUAAGUUCCACCCAAUCCACUCCAACACAUGUGGAUUGAGAUAGAUACGACUGUUAUGAUGCUUAGUUCAUAUGGGGGUAAUGGCGGUAGGAUAAUGGCGCCAAGGCUUUGUGGCCUAGCUGCCGAAGCAAGGGGAUGAGAGAUUAGACUGAUAGCAGGGAGAUGAGAUUAGAGAUAGCAUGGGGGUGAGUUGAGAGAUAACUUCAUUCUUCAUUGCUUCCUUCAUUCCAUUGAUGUUGGUUACAAUAUAUAGGAGCUGAGCUCCUUGCUAGGCGCAU